rnacentral:lncRNA from 1 species
GGGUGGGCUUCCGGUGAGGUGGGCCACCGUCCCCACCCCGUGCGUCACAAUCUCCCCAUGCUGCUUGCGAAGACGAUUUUCCUUCCUGAGGCUGCUGUUCAUCACACGGAGUGACCCAGGCUUCCAAGUUCCAGCAGGAGGGGGCUGGAUGGUUUGUGUCGGGAAAUGUUCACACAACAAAUACCGAAAAAAUAACAGCGACCUUUUUCUACUCUGAGUCGAUCACUUACCAAGUCCGAAAGCAUCAUGUUGAAAGAUAGUAGGAAAAGGACUCGGCUUUACUUUGGGUACUUACUUACAUGUCCACACGGGCAUACAGAUACGUAUGAAGCUCCACAUGGGCCAACUGAUUCAGGAAAGCUAGAUACGUCAUACGCAGCUAUUAAAAAUCAACAUCAUAAUCGUCUUUAUGAAAGCCUCAGAGACACCGUGGAUCUUGGUCUCCAAUCUAUACACAUUCCGCUCCGUGUAAGAAUCACCGAUGUUGAUAGAAAUAGCCAUGGGGUGUGCUAAGAACCCAUCUCGUGUGUCAAAGGAGCUGGGUCUCCGCCAGAUGAAAUGUCAGAGGAAGGCAGAUAUCUCUAUGUGAAAUGACCUUAAGAAAACCCCGACCUCGCCGAAGAUGACCUUUUUCCAGCAAGAGGCGUUAAAAUUACAACCAUAUUCGUGUUUCAGUUUCAAAAACAAUAUGUAUUUCUCCUCCACACUCUCUGACUUGGCACCCUACAUAUCUUAAAUAAAGAUAUGCCGGGGCCCUAUUUCUUCCUGGC